UUAAUCGAUUAAUUAAUCGAUAAUCGAAAACCUCUAUAAAUUCAUCCGUCAGAAGUCAGAACUAAUAUCCGUAUUUUGCGUAUUCCGUAUUCUCAAUUUAAAAAUCUUCAGUUCAAAUUCAGUCACGUUCGUACUAUUAAUCUUCUAAAAUGUGUUCAUUUUCAUUACAAAUUGUGUCUCAGUCUCAUUUCCCAGUAGUCUGCCGUUUUCACCGGUGGUUUUCGUCUUUUUCUGUGGUUUUAUCCUGAGAAGUGAUUGGCAUGAGUUUCAGCUAGAACAUGUACAGUAAGGCCUCACUCCCUGAAAUUAUUGACUAUUAUUUAACUCUGAAAGAAUCAUGUGACUGAUUUUUAUUUCACAUUCAACUCAUGAAGAAAGUUAGAUAGAACGCCUGUGGACUAUCUUCUUAUAUUAGUUGUUUCAGUCAGUUUCGCUUUCUUUGCUAAACCAUGUUUCUGCUAAUUUACACUAACUCAACGAACUGCUAACAACCUAACAAUAACAUUAUACUAUGAGUAGAUUCCUGCUGGGAUUUUAAAUCAAGUAAAUACCUCUCAUCUCUGGUUUGCUUACGGGUGUAGUCAUGGCAGGAAGAAAGAACAAGUCGGUGGAUAGUUUCUACUUCAAACACCUCGCAAUGAAAGAUUUUCAGAAAUGACCAAGCAAGAGCAGCUUAUUGCACAGAAAAAGCUUGAAAUCCAGAGGAAGUUAGAAGAAAGGAAGCGUUCAGAGACAGCUGAAGCAUUAAAGAAACUCAAUGAGCCGCCUGCCCAGAAACCAAAAGCCACCUCUCCUAUCGUAGGCUCCAGGAAAUUAACUAACCAAAGCUGCUCUACAAAUGCCUCCAGCAAUAUCUUUUCUAAUGAUGGAAGUUUCCUGGAACAGUUCAAGAAGAUGGUCAAUGAAAAUGUUGAUAAAGAAAAAGACGUAAAAUCUACAGAGAAAAGUAAUGGCCCACAAAAUACAUCAGAUGGAAUCAUUGAAGAUAAUCUGAGCCAACCUAUGGGAGAAUCUCCAUCAAAAGACUACGUUGAGGAACGUAAUCCCAAAAAGCCCAAUGAUCACAAUAAUAAGUAUGAUGACUACAGAAGAAAUGAUUAUCGAUGGAGUGAAAAUCGGCGGAAUGAUGAAAACAAAAAAAGUGAUGACUUCAAAAGAGAUGACAAAUUCAGAAGAAAUGAUGAUUGCUGGCGGGCAGAUGACAAUAGGCGUAAUGAUAGAAACUAUGAUCAUGGAGAUCGCCGGAGGAGGUUUGAAAAUGAUCGCCUUGAUAACAGAAAUCGCAGAUAUGAUCGGGAUCGAAUGAGACAUGAUAGCGACAGAGACAGGCGGUAUGAUAAUUAUGAUGACUACAAUCACAGUAGACGCUAUGAUCGAUAUGAUUCCCAGAAAAAUUAUUAUGAUGAUAAUGAUCAGUCAAGAAGAAAUAGUUGGGACAACUCGCCCUCUUUUAAUGAAAAUAAAUAUAGCUGCAAUAACUCAGAACGAAUUGAAAGAAAUGUUCCACCAUGGGAAUCUAAUGCCUUAAAGAAUCAGCAACAACAACAAUCUCUAGCUAAUUCUUCCAUUAUUCAGUAUCAGCCAACCAUGACGGUUCCUGUAUCAUCUAUUAUUUUAUCAUCUACUGUGCCUGUACCUGUUUCAAUAACAACCUAUGUUUCUAGUUUGCCUGUCACACUUCCGACUGAUUCAGUAACGUAUCCAUCUGUCCAAAUUCAGCCUGAUACAACUGUACCUGUUAUUACACAACAAAUUCCAAUCCAACAGCAGCCAAGUCUCAUUUUACAGCCAAUAAAUCAGCAGCAGGUUUCCAUCAAUCAGCCUUCAUCUGGCGCAUCUAUAGCACUAUCACAAACUCCAACCUUAGCUCAUGUAGCUCAGCCAGCUUCCAUGACACAUGUACCGCAGCCCUCUACCCUGAUAACGGUACCGCAGUCUUGCCCAGUGUCCUCUAUGCAGCAGUCCUCAACACUGACCCCUGUCCCUCCACCUGUAUUAAAUGCAGCAACUCCCUCUAUGAAUACCCUCUCUGUGCAACCUGGUACGCAAGUUGUCCAGCAGUGUCAGGGCACAAUUAUUUCCCAGCCACCCCCUCUGUCCCAAACAUCUGUUCAGCCCUCCUCUUUGCUUCCUCAAACUUCAAUGCAAAUCCAGCAGUUCUCCACUUCAAAUUCUAUCUUAUCUCAUUCCAUCCCUCCAUCCAACAAUAUUAAUCCUCAUCCUGUACCUCCUCCCUCUCCUCUAAACCCACACUCAUUACCCCCUCCUUCAUCUCUGAACCCAAACCCUCAUGCUGUUCCUCCACCAUCAUCUAUGAAUUCUCAUUCUGCACCCCCACCCUCAUCUCUGAAUCCUCACCCUCAU
rnacentral:lncRNA from 1 species